rnacentral:rRNA from 1 species
CCUACGGGAGGCAGCAGUGAGGAAUAUUGGUCAAUGGGCGCGAGCCUGAACCAGCCAAGUCGCGUGAGGGAAGACGGUCCUAUGGAUUGUAAACCUCUUUUGUCGGGGAGCAAAAGACGCCACGCGUGGCGUUCCGAGAGUACCCGAAGAAAAAGCAUCGGCUAACUCCGUGCCAGCAGCCGCGGUAAUACGGAGGAUGCGAGCGUUAUCCGGAUUUAUUGGGUUUAAAGGGUGCGCAGGCGGAAGAGUAAGUCAGCGGUAAAAGUGAGAGGCUCAACCUCUUCGAGCCGUUGAAACUGGUUUUCUUGAGUGAGUGAGAAGUAUGCGGAAUGCGUGGUGUAGCGGUGAAAUGCAUAGAUAUCACGCAGAACUCCGAUUGCGAAGGCAGCAUACCGGCGCUCAACUGACGCUCAUGCACGAAAGUGUGGGUAUCGAACAGGAUUAGAUACCCUUGUAGUC